rnacentral:rRNA from 1 species
UACAGAGGUCCCGAGCGUUGUUCGGAUUUAUUGGGCGUAAAGGGUGCGUAGGCGGCGGAGUAAGUUGGGUGUGAAAUCCCGAGGCUCAACCUCGGAAUUGCAUUCAAUACUGCUUCGCUCGAGUACUGGAGAGGAGGCUGGAAUUUACGGUGUAGCAGUGAAAUGCGUAGAUAUCUGGAGGAAUACCGGUGGCGAAGGCGGCAUCCUGGACCGACAUUGACGCUGAGGAGCGAAAGCUAGGGGAGCAAACGGG